AUUUCAGGAAAAUCUGAACUGGAAAGGAUUCCAAGACAUGCAUCAAAUUGUUUUUCAAACAGACUAGAUGGCUCGGGGACUGGUAAAGGGUUACAGAGCCUUUCAUCUUGACAUGCUGGUUUGAAUCAAAUCUGGGUCUGUAGUGACUGAAAGUUAUUACUGAUGGUUGCUUAGUAGCCUAGGAGAAAUGCACUAAUGGUCUCAGUCUAUUUACACAUCAUGAAAACCAUAAUCUCAGCUGCAACUAAUUGAUCAUCAUCAAGGAGCCAGAGGCACCACAGACUCAAGGGGCAUCAAGACCACACUAUCUUCUGACCUCUAGAACUGGACCCUACAGGGUUAGAUGUUCCACAGGUGUGGAGGGGUACCUCAAGGUUCAAAUGACAGCAGUUGCAGAUGAAAGACAGAUGUAAACACUGUAUUUACAGUUACAACAGAAAGGAAGAGGCUUAUCCGUGCUUGGCUGGUGGAACUGAAUAGACCAGUGAUACUCGGACCUCAGUGGUUCAAGGAGCCAAAUUAGCGAUCAACAUUACCCAAAAGAGCCACAGAAGCCCAGGAGAUCCAAUACCUCCUGUCUACUCCAGGCAGGAGUGCAUCUAGUGCAUGGAGCUUGCACAGUCAAUUGGGCAGCUGCACACAACAGAGGAGAGCUACUAGAUUGAAAGGGAGGACUGAACAACUGGUGCCCUCUCUCCCUCACCUGGAGCAGACUUUUAGGAGGGACUGCUCCAGUGGAAUCUGAGACAGUCUUUGAUGGCUUAGAGGACAAAUGAACUCUCUUCAUUUCAACAGACCCCGGAGUGCAAUCUCCUAUAGAUGGCUCACCUGCAGAAGGAGCAGGAAUUUCUUCUCUCAAAAGAACUUCAGAGUCUGACGUGCCUCUCAUGAACAUCUCCAUUAAAAAUAGUUUCAACCAUG